rnacentral:misc_RNA from 1 species
AGCAACCGCGGUAAUUCCAGCUCCAAUAGCGUAUAUUAAAGUUGUUGCAGUUAAAAAGCUCGUAGUUGAAUUUCGGGAUCAAUACGUCGGUCGUGCUUCGGUACGUACUGGCGUAAUUGAUUUCUCCCUUCUGACGAACCAUGAUGUCAUUAACUUGGUGUCAUGGGGAAUCAGGACUGUUACUUUGAAAAAUUAGAGUGUUUAAAGCAGGCUCACGCUUGAAUACAUUAGCAUGGAAUAAUGAAAUAGGACGUUCGAUCCUAUUUUGUUGGUUUUUAGGAUCAACGUAAUGAUUAAUAGGGAUAGUUGGGGGCAUUAGUAUUCAAUUGUCAGAGGUGAAAUUCUUGGAUUUAUUGAAGACUAACUACUGCGAAAGCAUUUGCCAAGGAUGUUUUCAUUAAUCAAGAACGAAAGUUAGGGGAUCGAAGACGAUCAGAUACCGUCGUAGUCUUAACCAUUAAACUAUGCCGACUAGGGAUCGGAUGAUGUUAAUUUUUAAUGACUCAUUCGGCGCCUUAAC